CAGCAGCCGCGGUAAUACAGAGGUCCCGAGCGUUGUUCGGAUUCACUGGGCGUAAAGGGUGCGUAGGUGGCGAGGUAAGUCGGAUAUGAAAGCUCGGAGCUCAACUCCGAAAUGGCAUUGGAAACUACCUUGCUCGAGGGUUGGAGGGGGGACUGGAAUACUUGGUGUAGCAGUGAAAUGCGUAGAUAUCAAGUGGAACACCAGUGGCGAAGGCGAGUCCCUGGACAACUCCUGACACUGAGGCACGAAAGCUAGGGGAGCAAACAGGAUUAGAUACCCUGGUAGUCCUAGCCGUAAACGGUGCAUGUUUGCUGUAAAAGGAUUCGACCCCUUUUGUGGCGUAGCCAACGCGUUAAACAUGCCGCCUGGGAAGUACGGUCGCAAGAUUAAAACUCAAAGGAAUUGACGGUGUAGCGGUGAAAUGCUUAGAUAUCGUCAAGAACACCGAUAGCGAAGGCAGCUUACUAAGGAGUAACUGACGCUGAGGCACGAAAGUGCGGGGAUCAAACAGGAUUAGAUACCCUGGUAGUCCGCACAGUAAACGAUGAUUACUCGAUGUUGGCGAUACACAGCCAGCGUCUUAGCGAAAGCGAUAAGUAAUCCACCUGGGGAGUACGCCCGCAAGGGUGAAACUUAAAGGAAUUGACG
rnacentral:rRNA from 1 species